UACGUAGGGGGCGAGCGUUGUCCGGAUUCAUUGGGCGUAAAGAGCUCGUAGGCGGCUUGGCAAGUCGGAUGUGAAAACUCCAGGCUCAACCUGGAGCCGCCAUUCGAUACUGCCAUGGCUAGAGUCCGGUAGGGGAGUGUGGAAUUCCCGGUGUAGCGGUGAAAUGCGCAGAUAUCGGGAGGAACACCGAUGGCGAAGGCAGCACUCUGGGCCGGUACUGACGCUGAGGAGCGAAAGCGUGGGGAGCGAACGAGG
rnacentral:rRNA from 1 species